rnacentral:lncRNA from 10 species
GCUAGCCUGGGAAAUGGAAUAACAUCACUUCUGUCACAUUCCAUUGGCCAAACAUAUCAAACUUGAUACAGCAUGAGAGGGGACUAUACAAGAAUGUGGAUACCAGGAAAUGAGGAUCAGUGGGGACCAGCUUGGAGGCUGACAACAACAGGAGAUGAUAAUGAAUAGUGAAAAAUGCCAAGCAGACAAUAAGCAGAAGGAACAGAGGAAAUCCACAAACUGGAUAAUUGUUUCUUGAGUAACUGACCAUCAAUCUAGAUAGUGGUUGCAGUAAUUUCAAAUUCUUCUCUUCCUUUUCACUUCAGGUGAAUGAAACCUGUUUUCACCGAGAAUGAGCUU